GACGAACGUUGGCGGCGUGCUUAACACAUGCAAGUCGAACGGAAAGGCCCUGCUUUUGUGGGGUGCUCGAGUGGCGAACGGGUGAGUAACACGUGAGUAACCUGCCCUUGACUUUGGGAUAACUUCAGGAAACUGGGGCUAAUACCGGAUAGGAGCUCCUGCUGCAUGGUGGGGGUUGGAAAGUUUCGGCGGUUGGGGAUGGACUCGCGGCUUAUCAGCUUGUUGGUGGGGUAGUGGCUUACCAAGGCUUUGACGGGUAGCCGGCCUGAGAGGGUGACCGGCCACAUUGGGACUGAGAUACGGCCCAGACUCCUACGGGAGGCAGCAGUGGGGAAUAUUGCACAAUGGGCGGAAGCCUGAUGCAGCAACGCCGCGUGCGGGAUGACGGCCUUCGGGUUGUAAACCGCUUUCGCCUGUGACGAAGCGUGAGUGACGGUAAUGGGUAAAGAAGCACCGGCUAACUACGUGCCAGCAGCCGCGGUGAUACGUAGGGUGCGAGCGUUGUCCGGAUUUAUUGGGCGUAAAGGGCUCGUAGGUGGUUGAUCGCGUCGGAAGUGUAAUCUUGGGGCUUAACCCUGAGCGUGCUUUCGAUACGGGUUGACUUGAGGAAGGUAGGGGAGAAUGGAAUUCCUGGUGGAGCGGUGGAAUGCGCAGAUAUCAGGAGGAACACCAGUGGCGAAGGCGGUUCUCUGGGCCUUUCCUGACGCUGAGGAGCGAAAGCGUGGGGAGCGAACAGGCUUAGAUACCCUGGUAGUCCACGCUGUAAACGGUGGGUACUAGGUGUGGGGUCCAUUCCACGGGUUCCGUGCCGUAGCUAACGCUUUAAGUACCCCGCCUGGGGAGUACGGCCGCAAGGCUAAAACUCAAAGGAAUUGACGGGGCCCCGCACAAGCGGCGGAGCAUGCGGAUUAAUUCGAUGCAACGCGUAGAACCUUACCUGGGUUUGACAUGGAUCGGGAGUGCUCAGAGAUGGGUGUGCCUCUUUUGGGGUCGGUUCACAGGUGGUGCAUGGCUGUCGUCAGCUCGUGUCGUGAGAUGUUGGGUUAAGUCCCGCAACGAGCGCAACCCAUGUUCACUGUUGCCAGCACGUUAUGGUGGGGACUCAGUGGAGACCGCCGGGGUCAACUCGGAGGAAGGUGGGGAUGACGUCAAGUCAUCAUGCCCCUUAUGUCCAGGGCUUCACGCAUGCUACAAUGGCUGGUACAGAGAGUGGCGAGCCUGUGAGGGUGAGCGAAUCUCGGAAAGCCGGUCUCAGUUCGGAUUGGGGUCUGCAACUCGACCUCAUGAAGUCGGAGUCGCUAGUAAUCGCAGAUCAGCAACGCUGCGGUGAAUACGUUCCCGGGGCU
rnacentral:rRNA from 1 species